GAUGAAGAACGCAGUGAAAUGCGAUAAGUAAUGUGAAUUGCAGAAUUCAGUGAAUCAUCGAAUCUUUGAACGCACAUUGCGCCCGCCAGUAUUCUGGCGGGCAUGCCUGUUCGAGCGUCAUUACAACCCUCAGGCCCCCGGGCCUGGCGUUGGGGAUCGGCGGAGCCCCCCGUGGGCACACGCCGUCCCCCAAAUGCAGCGGCGGUCCCGCCGCAGCUUCCAUCGCGUAGUAGCUAACACCUCGCGACUGGAGAGCGGCGCGGCCACGCCGUAAAACACCCAACUCUUCUGAAGUUGACCUCGAAUCAGGUAGGAAUACCCGCUGAACUUAAGCAUAUCAAUAAGCGGAGGA
rnacentral:misc_RNA from 1 species